rnacentral:rRNA from 1 species
AUUGAACGCUGGCGGCAGGCCUAACACAUGCAAGUCGAACGGUAACAGGAAGCAGCUUGCUGCUUCGCUGACGAGUGGCGGACGGGUGAGUAAUGUCUGGGAAACUGCCUGAUGGAGGGGGAUAACUACUGGAAACGGUAGCUAAUACCGCAUAACGUCGCAAGACCAAAGAGGGGGACCUUAGGGCCUCUUGCCAUCGGAUGUGCCCAGAUGGGAUUAGCUAGUAGGUGGGGUAACGGCUCACCUAGGCGACGAUCCCUAGCUGGUCUGAGAGGAUGACCAGCCACACUGGAACUGAGACACGGUCCAGACUCCUACGGGAGGCAGCAGUGGGGAAUAUUGCACAAUGAGCGCAAGCCUGAUGCAGCCAUGCCGCGUGUAUGAAGAAGGCCUUCGGGUUGUAAAGUACUUUCAGCGGGGAGGAAGGGAGUAAAGUUAAUACCUUUGCUCAUUGACGUUACCCGCAGAAGAAGCGCCGGCUAACUCCGUG